rnacentral:misc_RNA from 1 species
UCCCCGUUACCGGGGCAGUCUGACUAGAAAAAUCCAACUAAUCAUAAGGGUUGCGCUCGUUAAUGGACUUAACCAAACAUCUCACGACACGAGCUGAAGACGGCCAUGCAACACCUGUCACUGAGUUCCGGCUUUCAAUACACAAUAAAAUUAUUCUGUACUCAAAGCCGGCACUCACUCCUUUCGGAGUAAUUCUCAGGAUGUCAAGCCUUGGUAAGGUUCUUCGCUUACCAUCGAAUUAAAGAACACGCUCCACCGCUUGUGCGGGUCCCCGUCAAUUCCUUUAUGUUUUAGUCUUGCGACCGUACUCCACAGGUGGGAUACUUAACGCGUUAGCUUCGCUACGGAAGGGGUCGAUACCCCCCACAGCUAGUAUCCAUCGUUUACGGCGUGGACUAC